AAGUUCCCUCGGGUGACACUACGGAGCUCCAAACAGGGUCUUUGAUGACUCCUUUACAACACAUGCUCUGAGGAAGGUCCCUGGACCCGUGGCAGAAAGUGCCGUAGACAUAAUUGCUAUUAGCCUCGUGCCGUUCGCGAACAGGAAAGGAAGCCCCUCGGCUGAUCUUUUCGUGAUGGGUGCGAGAGUAUUGGUCAAAGUAAAGUUAUGUGUAGAGCGACGCUUCCGCUUGAAGGUUGAGAGGUUGCGUUGAACUGAACAGGGCCUACCGAACGAGGAAACU
rnacentral:RNase_MRP_RNA from 1 species